rnacentral:misc_RNA from 1 species
GAUGAAGAACGUAGCGAAAUGCGAUAAGUAGUGUGAAUUGCAGAAUUCCGUGAAUCAUCGAAUCUUUGAACGCACAUUGCGCCUUCUGGUAUUCCGGAAGGCAUGCCUGUUCGAGAGUCAUUAACAACCGUUUCGAUCCCUUUCUUUCAGAAAUUACAAAGAGGAAAAGGGUUUGGUUAUGGUGGAGGAGGGAAAGGGAGCGUUUAGCCUGUAAAAAAAGAGGCUGUGUUCCGCCUCCCCCCCAAAAUUGUACAGGCGGUCGUGUGCGCCCACGCAUCGAGGUGUUGUAAAAGCUGCCACGGCACUUUUCACCUGUGCAGUGCGAGAUUGGCCAGCCGGUUUUAAAACCCCUCCAAACAAUCAAAGGUUGACCUCGGAUCAGGUAGGGAUACCCGCUGAACUUAAGCAUAUCAAUAAGCGGAGGA